CAAUAGCGUAUAUUAAAGUUGUUGCGGUUAAAAAGCUCGUAGUUGGAUUUCUGCUGAGAACGACCGGUCCGCCCUUUGGGUGUGUAUCUGGCUCUUUCUUGGCAUCUUCUUGGUGAACGUUGCUGCACUUGACUGUGUGGAGCGCUACCCAGGACUUUUACUUUGAGGAAAUUAGAGUGUUUCAAGCAGGCAUACGCCUUGAAUACAUUAGCAUGGAAUAAUAAGAUAGGACCUCGGUUCUAUUUUGUUGGUUUCUAGAGCUGAGGUAAUGAUUAAUAGGGACUGUCGGGGGCAUUGGUAUUUGACUGUCAGAGGUGAAAUUCUUAGAUUCGUUGAGGACCAACCACUGCGAAAGCAUUUGUCAAGGAUGUCUCCAUUAA
rnacentral:rRNA from 1 species